rnacentral:lncRNA from 1 species
GAGGAGGCAGUGUCAUCAGGGCCCCACGCCCAACUGCCUCAGGAAGAGUCUGCACCAAGAAGGGCAGUGGACCCGCAGGCCUGGAUUCUCGGUCCUCAAGGAGACAAGAGCUGGGAGGCAUUCUAUCCUGGACUUUGGCUCUACUGGAACACCGACAGCCCCACCCCACGACACAGCCAUCUUCCCCAAACCUCUCACCCAGCCCGUCUCAGGACUGAGAGAGCCAGAGGGAGCCUGACAAGUGAGCAUCCUGGGGGAACCCAGAGGCUGGCAGUGGAGGGAGGGGCUGGGAGAGACUCAGAAGCUGGGUGGGGGGAGGAUAGCUAAGAGAAACUGGGAGAUCAGGAUUGAAGGACUGUGCAGAAGAUAGGAAAAGUGCCUCAAGCAGAGAACUGGUGCCUCAGGGGCAGGUGGCCAUGAUCUAACACACCUGGACCCUCAGGGCUGGUUCCUCACCUGAGAGACAGCAAGCCUAAGCCGUGGCCUCAGUCCCUGACCCUCUCCUUCCCCUGUGGAGCCCGGCAUGUGGGGCUACCUGUCCCUGCUCCCUGUCUUCCUGGCCUUCUGGGCUAUUGCUGGCAUCUGGACCGUGUGAGUUUUAGAGGCAGGAUGGAUGCCUGCCUCUGAAGGAGGAGGGCCUGGGUACCUGCACCCCUGGGUCUGAGGGAGGAGGGCGUGGGAGCUAGACCCCUGGGUGUGAGGGAGGAGGGGCUGGGGGUCUGGACCCCUGGGUGUGAGGGAGGAGGGGCUGGGGGUCUGGACUCCUGAGUCUGGGAAGGAGCUAGAAGUCCGGUUUCUGUGGGUAACAGAAAGAAAAGUUUCCUUCGAAAGCCCUCUAUUCACUCUGCUGUGUCCCUGACCUCAGUUUUUCGCUUGCGGUGGUCCACAAGUCAGUGAACCUCACGGAAGGCUUCCCCUAUAUCAGGUAGUUUUGCCACUGACAGCGUGGUGUGGAUGUGGGUGUUCGG